CCUACCAUCUGUCUCACAAACAAAUACCUCCAUCUCUCUCGAGAACAAAUACCUUCAUCUCUUCUCCACAACAAAUACCACCAAAUUGAACCAAGCCAUGUUCCAAUAAAUAUCUUAAUGGCUUCUUUGAUUCUUAAAAAUGGUUUCAAAGCAUUAUCCAUUUGUAAUAGCUUACUUUCUAAUAGAGUAGAACCAACUAACUGCAGCGAAGGAUCCCAACAGGAAAUUUAACAUAGGUGCAGAUUAAUUUCUUUCGGUGAUGGACUUAUCGUCGGUGUUAGGUUGCGGUGGCUGCCGGUGAUUAUUCUGAAACAGGUUAGGGUGCCCUUGCAAGUCUACUCCGAUAGCUGAUGUUUCUACAUAUAGUGUAACUCCUAUAUAUGAAGGUACUGGCUACUGAACUCUUAACUUCAACCUUCAUUUCUUGUACAGGCUAGAGUUUACUUUAAUAAAAUACAAUGCUUCUGUUUUGAGAAGCAGUGACUACUUGAGACCAGAUUCACAUGCUUGUAAGUCUGAUUUUGUGUUUCUUGUGUAUGUUCCCAUCUAUGACAUGUGACACAUCUAUUACCAUCAUAUGAUAUCUUGAAUAUCUAAUCUAUUUAGACUUGGCUUAUGAUAUUAGAAUUGGCUUUUCAGCAUAACUACUUCUGGUAUAUGAACUGUUUAGACCAUUCUACAAGUUUCACAUACUUUUUCAUGCAUGCAUUGAUGCAUCCCAAGCAUAACAUACUCUUAACAGACUGCGAUUGGAGCAAGUCGGGCGAUAUAUGACGGCGGGUUCCAAAAUGUUGCUGCUGCACAACAAAUGAUGUACUACAAGUAAAAUAUCAUAAGCUAUCUAUAUGGUGCAUGCAUACCUAUAUACGUUGCACAUUGGUUGCUGUCAAAACACUAGGGAGUUAUUUUAUUUAUUUUCUUUUUAAUUAAUGGUGGUGAUGUACCCUAACAAAUUAGAUCAAACAUUUUGAAUGUGUUUGUGUUUCUAUCAUGCUACUGAUGGUUGCUUUAGUAGAAAUAUGGUUGUUACUGAUGGUUGUACUAUAUAUUAAAUAAAAUUGUGUAGCCAAAAACAGUCAAAUAACCUUAAAGUUCUUCAUCUUACAAAUCAUUUAUAAACUUAAAGUUUACCUUUUUUUUAACUGAAAAUGUAGCUUAAUCAUCAAAAUAUAUAUUUAACUAUAAUUGGUUCAAUUAAGGAUGAACUGUUCAUCGGUGAAAAGCCUUUGCAACAAAAACUUAUCAACAUGUGAUUGGGAGCUCUGAUAUAAUUUCAAAAACAUUGUA